rnacentral:rRNA from 1 species
CCUACGGGUGGCAGCAGUGAGGAAUAUUGGUCAAUGGCCGUAAGUCUGAACCAGCCAAGUAGCGUGAGGGAAGACUGCCCUAUGGGUUGUAAACCUCUUUUAUGCGGGGAUAAAGGUCUCCACGUGUGGAUUUUUGCAUGUACCGCAUGAAUAAGGACCGGCUAAUUCCGUGCCAGCAGCCGCGGUAAUACGGAAGGUCCGGGCGUUAUCCGGAUUUAUUGGGUUUAAAGGGAGCGUAGAUGGGUUGUUAAGUCAGUGGUGAAAGUUUGCGGCUCAACCGUAAAAUUGCAAUUGAUACUGGCGAUCUUGAGUACAGUUGAGGUAGGGGGAAUUCGUGGUGUAGCGGUGAAAUGCUUAGAUAUCACGAAGAACUCCGAUUGCGAAGGCAGCUAACAAAACGGGCACUGACAUUGAUGCUCGAAAGUGUGGGUAUCAAACAGGAUUAGAUACCCUGUAGUC